AGAGCAGGGAGGACGGAGGGAGGCGUGAUUGCUCCCAGGAGCUUUCAUUAACAGGUAAUGGACCUGAUGAUGACAUCUUACACACAUGAUGGUGGAAAAGAAGAACAGGAAGUGAUGCCACUGGAGCAGAGGCUGCUGAUUGGAUAGGAGAUUCCCAGGCAGCUGCAAUAAAACCUGAUGUGUGAAGCCAGAAGAAGACACAGAAACAGAGCGAGGCGACGCAGCAGAGAUCAGCUCCACACUGAAGAUGCAGUUCUGCUUCUGUUUGCUGCUCCCCGGCCUCCUGUCCUUCACUCUGCUCCACUGCAGCGUCGACGGCCUCAGAGUCCAACCGCAACCUGCUCGGCAGGUAGACCAGCCCAUUUUGAGGUUUCAUGCGGCCCCUCAGUCUCGCCCUGUAGGUGUGAAGGUGGGGGAGGAGCUGACAGCAAAACUGCUCCAAUCGGAUCACCAAAUGAGGAUGGAAAAUGAUGUCAUGGAGCCAAAGAGGAAGAGGAGCUUUCCCAUCAACAACGUCCCGCUGGACCGCCUGUCCAUCAGCUCCAUGGAAACGAAGCAGCAAGGGUCAAACAAGCAGAGCAAGGUGGUGGAGUCACCACGGCGACGACUCAAUCCACCGCCCAUUGACAGAAUCGGGAUGGGUCGUCUGCCAAACGGCAGAGGAUAGGCCACACCCCCUCCAUCUGAAAGCCCACUCUCCCCCCACGCUCUCACUGGACAGAUGCAUGAAACAGCCAAUCACCUGCUGAACCACGCCCACCUGACACCCUCACUUCACCUGGACAGCCCAACACAAAGCGCGACUGUUCAAUGAUGGUGCGUUCAGAUGCAGCUCCGUAAAUUCGGCACACAUAGAAAUGAAGUGAUUUCAGCGACACCUGCGAUUUGCUUCCAUGGCAACUCGUUUUAACAAAAAUUUUAUUUACCUGUAAAACUUACAGGUAAACAAAACUUUUAUUUUUUAUAUGCUGAAUUUAAUCAAAGUGAAUUAUGUAAUGUGAGCAAAUCUCAGAUUAGCAGCACCAACAGAUAUCCUGAAGUAUGAGAUUAAAUAUACUUAGUUUCCACCAAUGAGAAGCUUUGAUUUCAGAUUUAUUGAGAAAUAAAUUCGUUACAACUUUGAAAUUUGUAUUUGGAGAAAAUCAGAGCUCAGAUCUCAGAAAGAUCAAAUCAUCAGAAUCGAGCACCUUUGAGUUUAAUAACAAUAAUUUGGAUGUUUUGGGGUUUUUCAUUUAUAAAUUUUUCCAUCUUUUUGAUUCUUUACAUUUAAUAUAUAAUUUAAAAAAUUGAAGGUUAGAGUUUGAACAUUUUAACCUCGUUAGGAUUAGCGUUAGGGAAUGAUAAUGCUGCAGUUUUCCGAGUGUCACCUGAAUGCACCAUCGUCGCCGCCCCCUGCUGUUGGGACCCUGACUGGAGGCACUGUUGCCUCGACUCCCCUCGCAAUCGUCCGACACCAAUCGAGUUUCCUCCUCGCACGUUUGUCUCAGAGUUGUGCAGCAGGACUCUGGGUUUCCACAGCAACGGCACAUUUCUGCUGCGACCGUAAACAGUGGACAUAGCUACUGUUACGUCACCUCAAAGUCACAAGAUUAGCAUUUUCACAGUCAACCCCUUAGUUGCAAAGCAGACUUCCUGUUCAAUAUGACCCAAGAUGAGCGACUGAGUCCAUCACCUCAGCAGCAAAGUGUUUACAAAGGUCAGAGGUCAAAGUUCUACAGCACUGGAAGUCUUUUUGCAACCACAGCAGUCGCCACCUGGUGGCUGUUAGAUAGAAUGCGGGUUUAACUCUUCAGCAUUACUUUUUUUUCCCUGACCAGGAAGCUACAUCCAUGUUUUAUACCAUCUAUGACUGUAACACAUCUAAAUUUUCUAAACUUGAAAUGAGAAAAAAAAAAAAAGAAGUCCAAAAAGAGGUUUAAACGUCUGAGUGCCGCUGCAGUGGAAACCGUCCUGCUCACUGAUUCUGUUCUGAUGUGCUUCUUCCUGCCUGAGUUUAACUGUGCUUAAUAAAAAGAAAAUGACAACAAA